CGGAUGUAGACUCCAUGUAGACAAGGAGGAAUAUUACCGAUGACUUCUAAACCGUUUUGAACCGGACAUUCAUUAACGGGAGCGAAAUUUCCAGAUAAUUGAAUAGAUGGAUCGGUCGGUUUAGGUAGCGGGUGGUUUUGUUCCAUUGGUACAACGAGGGAGGACUCGAUUUUGUCGAGCAUGGAAGCUGCUAGCUUCUGGAGAGGGUUUAAGUGAUGAUGGGUCAGCUUGAGCUUAACCGGAGACGGAGGUGACGUCGCCGGUGAAGUGAGACUAUUAAAAGGAGGGUUUGCACAAUUAUGAAAAUACACCUACGUCAGAAAUUAAACUUGUUCCUUCAACUGAUUCUCGCUCACGAACGUUCCGUGGAAACCGUACGGUACUCUCUCCGGUAGCCGCACCGCCGCGACUUGCUUCAUCUCCGAUGCGUCAACCACCACAAACUCCGACUCAUCUCUCUCUUCGUCCCUCACAAACCCCAUUACAUACCCUUCGUCUUCUCCUUCUCCCUCCGGUACGAAAUACGGUUCGCCACCGAACCGGUGUAAAUGAAAACGUGAGGAUGUUUCCGGCGGAAGAAGAUUGGAGCCGAGAGAGUGUUGCAUGGUGGCGAGGUCAGAGUGGAGUGAAUGAUAUUUUGCAUUGUAAACAUGAAGGAGGGUCGCGUUUUAUAAGUUAUUUUUUUCUAAAAUAUUUUUUUGUUUGUUUUUGUUUUCUCAACCUACUAGCGGUUGAAUUUAAAAAUGAAAAAAAUUUAGUAGAGUAUUGACAUCUAGCAAAUAAUUAUCUCUAUUAUAUUAUUAAAAUUUUACAAUAUAGAUAACUAUUGAUAAAACCAUACGUCUAUGCAUAUAUCAUAAUUACUCUAGAUUUUUGUGUAUUUAAAUCCAAAACAAAGUUAGUGAAUCUUUUCAAAGAGGUGGGAGCUUAUAGGAAUAAAUAAUGUGCUUUACAAAUAAAUGUAUUGUCUCAUGUUUAAGAAGAUUUUGGGGAAAAAUAAUCUAUUAAAUGAAAGAAAGUAUAUAUACUAUAACCCAUGUUCGAAACUAUGCUAGGCGCUAGUCGGGCGGCAACUCCGGACCUAACGAGUUACCGAAAAAUCGAGGAAUACUCGGAGAUUAUGCAGAGCCUAAUUUUAAAUAUAAUUUAAUACAUUUAUAAUAUAUUUAACUAAUUUUAAAUAUGAUGACACAUGUUUUAGACAUAAUUAUAUAAUUUUUUAUAUAUAAUUUUAAACAGCAUCUUUUUGAUUCGUUGAACAUUUAGAUUAUGGUGUGUUUGGUAGGAGAAACAUUUAGAUUAUGGUGUGUUUGGUACGAAAAAAUCUUUAAAUACAUUAAUUAUGUGUUUGUUUUGGGUUUAAUAGCUAAUUGUAAUUAUUUAGUAAUGAAUAAUUACACAAAAUCUGUCAAUAAUAAGCAAAAAAACAAUCAACCGUAUUUCAACUUUACACAGACAAAAUAUAAAAUAAAAAUUUAGAUGGUCAACGCGGAAAUUAGACGGUAUUACGUGGAUCAACACCGGAUUACACUGAUUUGGACAUAUUUACCGCGGUAAACCUCCGAAGGGACUAUAACUGGUAUAGUAUGACUUGGUAGGUGUCGAGGUCUGUGUGUUUUAACACUAACGUAAACUUCAUGUGGUGUGUAACAAAACUUCAACGUUUAUUGCUAAUAUGGAGUGGAUGGUAUAUCUAACUGCACGCUCAAAAGUUAAAAUCAAUUAUUCUUAUGUGCCAUGGAUAAUGUGGAGUUGCUGUUGGAAUACAUUUGGGAGAGAUGGUAGUGGAAGCUUGAUGAAUGAUGAGUAAGAUGACAAAUGAGGAAUAUGCUUUCUAUUUUUUCUUUUGAAGAGAAGACGGUCCGUGAGAGUCGGUCAGGCUCCUGGUUUAUAUAUUGAAGAGAAUUUUGGCUCAUAACCAUUAAAAAAACUAACCAUCCUUCCCUUUUAAUUUCUCUCUUUCUUUUUCUUCCUAUAUCCCCUCUAACUCAUUGUUAGUUUCUUAAAUUUAAGUUUUUUAGUACCAAUUCUCCUUUUAUUGAACUGGUUCGGCCGGAAAUUUUUGGUAUGAACUAAUUUGACUUUUUCCAAACGUGAAUAACACAAUAUUUACACUAUAGGAGUUUGUAUUUGGGUGCAACGAUGAUAUUAAGUACAAAUCAUAGCCUAUUAAUCUUGACCAAAGAAAUUAAUCUUGAUCAGUAAAUGCACUACAUCUAUCUUUUGUUUUGCAGUAUUAACAAACUGCAACAAUGCGGAGAUUCGAAUAAUGUUUUUUUUUUUUUUUGGUAAAAUAUUAAAUAUUAUACUAAUUUUCAAAAUUUUGACCAAAGUUACAAAGAAAAGAACUAGUAGCAGAAAACUGAAAAUAAACUAAACAGCACAACUAUAAGAGUAAAGACAAAGCCAAAAAACGAUAGAAGAACAAAGCCUAUUGACUAGCUAAACAACGAGACGAGCUAAGACCAAAGAAACUGAGCCAGGUCGAAGCCGAGUACCGGGCACCACGAGCUACCGAGAGAAAGGCGCCUUCAAACCUUGAUGCAACGGCUCCUGCAACUUCCGAAAACACUACCCAAACAUGAAACGGACAGAGAUUCCAAGCACGAAAACACAUCCAAACCACCCGACAGAGAUACCUCCGACGGCACUAGAGAGAACCACCUAGCGACGAUGCCGUCGUUCGGAGGGACAAUCUGAAGUUUGCCGUCUCCAUCUCAUCCCGCCGAUGACCGUAUACACCCAUUGAACCGAGAACCCAUAUAGAGAAAGCAGACCGCCAAGUAGCUAACCCUCCAGAAGCACACCGCAGAAGAAUGAACGGUUCGAUUGUCCAGCUGCCGAUUCGAAUAUUGUUGUGUUCUAAAAGAAUAUUUGCAUCAAGCCACUAUUCUAAAUGGUUAGCUAAAUGGGCAUUUUAUAGUCUUGUCUUUAUUGAUAUUUUCUUGUUUACAGUUAUGUCAUGAUCUCGUAAUAAACAAGGAUGAGCUCAUGGAAGCACCGCCAACUCCACCACCUGGGUUAGGUUUCAAGGCAAAAAGAGAAGACUUCAAGGAAGAUAUAUCAUUCUAGUUUCAAAAAUAAAUAGAUAUAUAUAUCAUUCUAGACAAUGCUGUUUUAUUUUAUUUGUAUCUAAAACAACCACAUUUCUAUUUUCUUAUUAGAUAUGAUAAUUAAUAACAUGUUUGUAAUUGAUUGCAUAUUAUUGGAUAAAUUUAUAAUAUAUAUUUUUUCAAAAUAUAUUAGUAAAAACUGUAUUUAUUAUAUUUUGUUUAUUCAAUUUUCUUUUGAAAGAUUAUGGGUAGCCAGUCUCUUAAUUUGAGUUGUUGCUUGUUUGUGUUCAGUGUAACAAGUUGCAAAUUUUUGGUUAAACAUGGCUCACUAGUCAUUUCUAAUUUCCAAAGUGUUCACAUUAUAAGUUCAUGCUUGAUUAACAAAUUAAUCGGACGAGGAGAAAAUUGAAAUACCGGGGCUUGAGGACAGUUUAGAAAUCAACAUUUUGAAUAUAACUCAUAAAGUUUGAAAUGAAAAUACAUGAAAGUGAUAGUAUACCUAUAUUCCAAACUUUUUGUACACGCUAGGUUAAACCGAAUACGGUAAGAGACUGAACUUUCUUUUUUUGAUAAUUCAGCAUCUAUAAAUAACUAGAGAAUCUUUCUAUAAACAGUAAUUAAGUUAACAAAGCCAACGACGUUUCCCUUCUUAAUUCUUAUACACAAAUGAUAUACUAACAAAGCAAUUAAACACAAACUAUUAAAAGGAGGGUUUGCACAAUUAUGAAAAUACACCUACGUCAGAAAUUAAACUUGUUCCUUCAACUGAUUCUCGCUCACGAACGUUCCGUGGAAACCGUACGGUACUCUCUCCGGUAGCCGCACCGCCGCGACUUGCUUCAUCUCCGAUGCGUCAACCACCACAAACUCCGACUCAUCUCUCUCUUCGUCCCUCACAAACCCCAUUACAUACCCUUCGUCUUCUCCUUCUCCCUCCGGUACGAAAUACGGUUCGCCACCGAACCGGUCCGGUCCGUAUUUGAAUUGGAUAACGGUUCCGUUCUCUAAAUCAACUUUUGCGAUGCCACUGCAUCUCGGCCAAGGAUCCGCUACCGCUAAAUAAACGAACCGGGUUUUUCGGCCCAGGAAAUUCCGGUUUACUUGACCCGCUUCUAAAUUCAUCCCGGUUACAAUAACCUUCCGGUUCGAUUCUUUUGUCCGCAGGUUUAACCGUAUUUCAGUUAAUUCAAUUCGAGUCGGUUCUCCAGAUUCGCUGAAAAUCGUAUCGGGCGGGUUCAUGCACGACCCAAUGACGACGAUAACCGGGUCGCCGUCCUCGGUUAUCUCUUCCCACGCGUUCCAUAGAUGGAAACAGAAGCAGUCGGGUACAUCGACCCAAUUUACACUCGACCCGGUCGGAUCCUGGUUUGACAAAACCCCGAAUCUAGACAUCUUCUCUCUGUCGUAGAUAACCGGUGACCCGCCCCGAAUCAUUUCGGAUAAUUUGAAUACCAUUUGCUGAUCUGGGAUCACGACAAAAUUUUCGGUUAUUGCAAAAUCGUGAAUCAUCGUGGGUUGCUCGAGUGUGAUGUCAAGGUCACGUGUCUUUUUCCCGCACGUGUCGAAUUUAAGAUAUUUGAGAUGAGGUUUCUUCAAAACAUUGUAACUCAGCGUGUGAAGAUCUCCUGUGGUAGGGUCCACUUUAGGAUGCGCUAUUACUGGACAAUCGAUCUGUUCAUCGAAUUGGAACCGUCCGAUCGUCUCGAGAUCUCCAUGGCCGUUGAUCUUCACGUGGUAAGGGAGAUCAUCCUCUGACAUGGCUAAUAAUCUUCCGUUAAAGUAAACGACGCCGGCGUUAGCUACACCCAUGCCACGUGUCGCGUCCACAAGACCAAUCUCAGCUCGAGCGGCGAAUAAAGCGAGUCGAGCCAAACCCGAGUGACCGUGAAGCUCGCCGAUGGAUUUAGGGAAAACCGACCGGCCAAGCUUGGCUUCCUGAACAAGCCGGUUUGUUUUAGUGUACCGGCAGCUGUAACUAACCCGGUUAUCAGAACCGAUGCUAACUGCGUGAAUCAUUCCGUCACCGUCAAACAAAUGGUGUCCACCUAACGGCGGAAACAUAGGAUUAGCGCCGUUGCGGAUGUAGACUCCAUGUAGACAAGGAGGAAUAUUACCGAUGACUUCUAAACCGUUUUGAACCGGACAUUCAUUAACGGGAGCGAAAUUUCCAGAUAAUUGAAUAGAUGGAUCGGUCGGUUUAGGUAGCGGGUGGUUUUGUUCCAUUGGUACAACGAGGGAGGACUCGAUUUUGUCGAGCAUGGAAGCUGCUAGCUUCUGGAGAGGGUUUAAGUGAUGAUGGGUCAGCUUGAGCUUAACCGGA
rnacentral:lncRNA from 1 species